GACGAACCGAGCGAACGUUGUUCGGAAUUACUGGGCGUAAAGGGCUCGUAGGCGGCCAACUAAGUCAGACGUGAAAUCCCUCGGCUUAACCGGGGAACUGCCUCUGAUACUGGAUGGCUUGAGAUUGGGAGAGGGAUGCGGAAUUCCAGGUGUAGCGGUGAAAUGCGUAGAUAUCUGGAGGAACACCGGUGGCGAAGGCGGCAUCCUGGACCAACACUGACGCUGAGGAGCGAAAGCCAGGGGAGCAAACAGG
rnacentral:rRNA from 1 species